rnacentral:hammerhead_ribozyme from 1 species
GCACUGCAGACGAGUUCAAAACAGGACGAAACAGCUGUCCAGUGC